CCUACGGGUGGCAGCAGUGAGGAAUAUUGGUCAAUGGACGAGAGUCUGAACCAGCCAAGUAGCGUGAAGGAUGACUGCCCUAUGGGUUGUAAACUUCUUUUAUAAAGGAAUAAAACGAGGCACGUGUGCCUUUUUGCAUGUACUUUAUGAAUAAGGAUAGGCUAACUCCGUGCCAGCAGCCGCGGUAAUACGGAGGAUCCGAGCGUUAUCCGGAUUUAUUGGGUUUAAAGGGAGCGUAGAUGGGUUGUUAAGUCAGUUGUGAAAGUUUGCGGCUCAACCGUAAAAUUGCAAUUGAUACUGGCAGUCGUGAGUACAGUUGAGGUAGGCGGAAUUCGUGGUGUAGCGGUGAAAUGCUUAGAUAUCACGAAGAACUCCGAUUGCGAAGGCAGCUUACUAAACUGCCACUGACAUUGAUGCUCGAAAGUGUGGGUAUCAAACAGGAUUAGAUACCCUUGUAGUC
rnacentral:rRNA from 1 species